rnacentral:rRNA from 1 species
AUGGCAGGUCAGCAUACUGCCGUGAAUACGUUCCCGGGCCUUGUACACACCGCCCGUCACACCACUGAGAGUUGGAGAUACCCGAAGCCUAUGAGCUAACUUUAGAGGCAGUAGUCGAAGGUAGAAUCAAUGAUUGGGUGAAGUCGUAACAAGGUAUC